rnacentral:miRNA from 2 species
CUUCCUAAUAGAGUCAGGCUG